rnacentral:rRNA from 1 species
CACCGCCCGUCACAUCAUGAAAGCCGUUUGUACCCGAAGUCCUCGUGCUAACCGCAAGGAGGCAGAGGCCGAAGGUAUGGAUGGUGAUUGGGAUG